GACGAACGCUGGCGGCGUGCCUAAUACAUGCAAGUAGAACGCUGAAGGAGGAGCUUGCUUCUCCGGAUGAGUUGCGAACGGGUGAGUAACGCGUAGGUAACCUGCCUGGUAGCGGGGGAUAACUAUUGGAAACGAUAGCUAAUACCGCAUAACAGUAGAUGUUGCAUGACAUUUGCUUAAAAGGUGCAAUUGCAUCACUACCAGAUGGACCUGCGUUGUAUUAGCUAGUUGGUGAGGUAACGGCUCACCAAGGCGACGAUACAUAGCCGACCUGAGAGGGUGAUCGGCCGCACUGGGACUGAGACACGGCCCAGACUCCUACGGGAGGCAGCAGUAGGGAAUCUUCGGCAAUAGACGGAAGUCUGACCGAGCAACGCCGCGUGAGUGAAGAAGGUUUUCGGAUCGUAAAGCUCUGUUGUAAGAGAAGAACGAGUGUGAGAGUGGAAAGUUCACACUGUGACGGUAUCUUACCAGAAAGGGACGGCUAACUACGUG
rnacentral:rRNA from 1 species